GAAUGUGUAAGGGGGAACGCCUCACGGGGUGGAAACAAGGUCACACUCCCGAGAGACGUUUUGGA
rfam:Marine metagenome 1096626348365, whole genome shotgun sequence.